rnacentral:tRNA from 1 species
GCCGUGGUCGUACAGCGGUUAGUACCUUGCGUUGUGGCCGCAAAAACCCAGGUUCGACUCCUGGUCACGGCA